GCCCCUAUAGUUAAGCGGUCCAUAACAGCGGACUUUUAAUCCGCGUGACCCCGGUCCGAAUCCGGGUGGGGGCACAA
rnacentral:tRNA from 1 species